AGGGCAACAAGGGUUAUCUAUGGUGAAACCAACUGCAGGCCUGACACUCAAGUUUGACACGAGGGUCUUCAAGACCCCCUCGCCUGUGCACUCCAGCAGCCAGGGAACGGACUUACAGCAUGUUAGUGAAUGGCAGCCCUCUCUGACAGCAAAAAGAUCUUCCUCACUGCCAGUGGGUGGUGGAGCGAGCAUACUACUACUGGCCAGUGAUGUGUGGAGGACUGAUUUUGCACAACGGCAUCUAGAGGCCUUGGGAAACCUCCAGCCCUCUAGCCAUCUUGCCCAAAUCUGCAGACCCAAAAAUGAGAAGCAGCCAGACUUGUUCUGAUGGGCCACCAAUGGGCACUUCUGGGGUCCUGAAAAGACUUCUUCCCAUCAGGUGCAUUGUUUCUUUGAUGUGAAGUUCUAGAGCAGGGAGUAGGUUCCUCUGGGGAAUUUGGAAAAGGGGAGACACACUGUUCUCACAUCAGUUUUCAAGCUUUGCUGUUUAUGCCUCAUAACCGAGCUGACCCCAGAAAUCCCCUGCUGAGUCCAUGCAAUGGAAACUUCUCGUCAUUUUCCCAGCUGUAUUCUCCUCCCUGCUCUUUGAGUGACUGCUCUCUGCCUCCUGUAACUCAGCAUCCUCUGGCCUGCCCCAUCUGCAACUGACAUGGCAUGGAAGGACCCCAUGUUCUCAAAAACACUGCCACCUCACUCUCCUCAGAGAACCCUCAGGAUCUGGCAUUUCCACUCUGUGUAUGCAGGAGUCCAGGAGGAUCAGGCUCAGAAAGGUGAGAGCUCUGGGCCAUGAGAGUGCACAUCUAGGAAGUAGGGGGAACCGUACGAAUCAAGGCCCAGAUGGUACAGCAGGACAGGUCACAGGGGUGCCCACAGCAGCAGAACAGGAUAUCUCACCACUCACACCCAUCCCCCUCCUUCAGUGGGGGUUACUAAAUGGGGCUUUGGGAUCUCUCACCUUCUUUGCCCACUAGUUCCUUUGAAGCUGGCCUGUGGAAUGGUGUUUUAUGUUUAUCCUUGUUUACUGUAGACCAAAAAUUGGUUUGGAAGCAGCUUCCAAGUCUUGCUCCUCUCUCUCACUGGUUAGUGGGCAAUUGGAUAAGGGAACUGUAGGGCUUAGACCAGUCUACGGUCUUAUGUGACCAGCUGCAGAGUAAGUACCUCUAAGCUAUCCAUGGUCCCCUGCCAGGUCUACAGACUCUGCAGAGAGCACCGAUCUCAUGGGUUCAUGUGUACCCUGUCUGGUGGCCUCAUUCUGUGUGUUUAGCGUCUGCCCAAUGCAUGGAUACGUUACAUGCAGUUAGUGGUGAGAUCCUCAUGCUGAAGCCAGCCUCUGUGCCCCAAAAAGUCAUAGGCUGUGAUCCAAGAAUCUGGGAAGUAGAGUUCUUACCCUCAGGCUUGGGUGGCUCUUCGUUGCAUUUUGUGUUAUUCUGCAAUAUGAUCAUUCUAGUGAUUCAAUCCUUUUCAAGUCGAAUUGUUUUCAGGUUGUUUCGUUUUCCUCUUCCGGAGACUUUUGUACAUACUGUUGUCCUGAGUAACAGUAUCUCUAAGCUGAGUUACCCUAAUCGGAGCUACCGGAAGUUACCUGCUUUCAAUAAAUUCUGGUUUGGUUUUAUUUUUUUAAUCAAAAAAAAAAAAAAAAA
rnacentral:lncRNA from 1 species